UACGGAGGGUGCAAACGUUGCUCGGAAUUACUGGGCGUAAAGCGCGUGUAGGUGGUCUCUUAAGUUUCAUGUGAAAUCCCUGGGCUCAACCCAGGACGUGCAUGAAAAACUGGGAGGCUGGAGUGCGGCAAAAGAGGGCGGAAUUCCCGGUGUAGAGGUGAAAUUCGUAGAUAUCGGGAGGAACACCAGUGGCGAAGGCGGGUCUCUGGGCCGAUACUGACGCUGAGGAGCGAAAGCGUGGGGAGCGAACAGG
rnacentral:rRNA from 1 species